rnacentral:rRNA from 1 species
UACGUAGGGGGCUAGCGUUGUCCGGAAUCAUUGGGCGUAAAGCGCGUGUAGGCGGCCCGGUAAGUCCGCUCUGAAAGUCGGGGGCUCAACCCUCGGAUGCGGGUGGAUACUGUCGGGCUUGAGUGCGGUAGGGGAGAGUGGAAUUCCUGGUGUAGCGGUGAAAUGCGCAGAUAUCAGGAGGAACACCAGUGGCGAAGGCGGGUCUCUGGGCCGGAACUGACGCUGAGGAGCGAAAGCGUGGGGAGCGAACAGG